rnacentral:snRNA from 1 species
GUAGAUCAGCCUUUGGUUAAAAUCAGGUGCCGUAUCUGUUCUGAUCAGUCGACUGUGUUGGUAUGUGCUCUUUCCGAGGGCAGUAUGUUAAAUGGAAUUUUGAAGCAGAAAGGUAGAAUUAGAGCCUGCUUUCAGUACUCCAUGAAGUGACUUGGUGUUACAAUACCUCCAGCAAUAGUGCAUCCCAU